GACGUGUAGACCAACACAAAGUAGUGACACGUAUCCUGGCAUGGAUCAGAGAUCAACCACAGUAUUUAAAAGCUGCUAAUAUAAGCACAGACAUGCUGCCCAGCCUCUCUAAGGAGGAUUUACGUGAUCUCUUUCCCAGGCCAGAGCACUUCUUCAGAAGGAGAACCAUUUGGAGACUUACUCAUAGUGAAAAUUAGGUGUGGUGUUCUUUGUAUGCUAUGUGAAGAUGAAGAGGAUUUCCUUGCCAAUCUAUGAUUCAUCAUAUUUACAGUACGUAUGC